GCCCCGGUAAACGGCGGCCGUAACUAUAACGGUCCUAAGGUAGCGAAAUUCCUUGUCGGGUAAGUUCCGACCUGCACGAAUGGCGUAAUGAUGGCCAGGCUGUCUCCACCCGAGACUCAGUGAAAUUGAACUCGCUGUGAAGAUGCAGUGUACCCGCGGCAAGACGGAAAGACCCCGUGAACCUUUACUAUAGCUUGACACUGAACAUUGAGCCUUGAUGUGUAGGAUAGGUGGGAGGCUUUGAAGUGUGGACGCCAGUCUGCAUGGAGCCGGCCUUGAAAUACCACCCUUUAAUGUUUGAUGUUCUAACGUUGGCCCGUAAUCCGGGUUGCGGACAGUGUCUGGUGGGUAGUUUGACUGGGGCGGUCUCCUCCUAAAGAGUAACGGAGGAGCACGAAGGUUGGCUAAUCCUGGUCGGACAUCAGGAGGUUAGUGCAAUGGCAUAAGCCAGCUUGACUGCGAGCGUGACGGCGCGAGCAGGUGCGAAAGCAGGUCAUAGUGAUCCGGUGGUUCUGAAUGGAAGGGCCAUCGCUCAACGGAUAAAAGGUACUCCGGGGAUAACAGGCUGAUACCGCCCAAGAGUUCAUAUCGACGGCGGUGUUUGGCACCUCGAUGUCGGCUCAUCACAUCCUGGGGCUGAAGUAGGUCCCAAGGGUAUGGCUGUUCGCCAUUUAAAGUGGUACGCGAGCUGGGUUUAGAACGUCGUGAGACAGUUCGGUCCCUAUCUGCCGUGGGCGCUGGAGAACUGAGGGGGGCUGCUCCUAGUACGAGAGGACCGGAGUGGACGCAUCACUGGUGUUCGGGUUGUCAUGCCAAUGGCACUGCCCGGUAGCUAAAUGCGGAAGAGAUAAGUGCUGAAAGCAUCUAAGCACGAAACUUGCC
rnacentral:rRNA from 1 species